GCGCCCGUAGCUCAAUUGGAUAGAGUGCCAGACUACGAAUCUGGAGGUUACGAGUUCGAUUCUUGUCGGGCGCGCCA
rnacentral:tRNA from 1 species